UACCCCCCUACGGGAGGCAGCAGUGAGGAAUCUUGGUCAAUGGGCGGAAGCCUGAACCAGCCAAGUCGCGUGAGGGAAUAAGGCCCUACGGGUCGUAAACCUCUUUUGCCGGGGAGCAAGGGCCGGGACGCGUCCCGGCCCGGAGAGUACCCGGGGAAAAAGCAUCGGCUAACUCCGUGCCAGCAGCCGCGGUAAUACGGAGGAUGCGAGCGUUAUCCGGAUUUAUUGGGUUUAAAGGGUGCGUAGGCGGGCUUUUAAGUCAGCGGUAAAAAUUCGGGGCUCAACCCCG
rnacentral:rRNA from 1 species